AUUGAACGCUGGCGGCAUGCCUUACACAUGCAAGUCGAACGGCAGCGGACCUUCGGGUGCCGGCGAGUGGCGAACGGGUGAGUAAUAUAUCGGAACGUACCUUUCAGUGGGGGAUAACGUAGCGAAAGUUACGCUAAUACCGCAUAUUCUGUGAGCAGGAAAGCAGGGGAUCGCAAGACCUUGCGCUGAUUGAGCGGCCGAUAUCAGAUUAGCUAGUUGGUGAGGUAAAGGCUCACCAAGGCGACGAUCUGUAGCGGGUCUGAGAGGAUGAUCCGCCACACUGGAACUGAGACACGGUCCAGACUCCUACGGGAGGCAGCAGUGGGGAAUUUUGGACAAUGGGCGCAAGCCUGAUCCAGCCAUGCCGCGUGAGUGAAGAAGGCCUCGGUGUAAGCUCUUCGUCCGGACGGAAGUACG
rnacentral:rRNA from 1 species